rnacentral:rRNA from 1 species
AGCUAUAUGAUUUUAUAUUUAGUUAUUUCUGCCCAGUGAUAUUUUAACGGCCGCAGUACUUUGACUGUGCUAAGGUAGCAUAAUCAAUUGACUUUUAAUUGAAGUCUAGAAUGAAUGGAAAAAUGGGGAAAUACUAUCUUAAAGAAAAUAAUAUAAAAUUAUUAUUUAGGUGAAAAUACCUUAGUUUUUAAAAAAGACGAGAAGACCCUUAGAGUUUAUUUGUUGGGGUGACAAAUAAGCAAACCUUAUUUAAUGUAUGAAUAAACUACCUUAGGGAUAACAGCAUAAUUCUUUAAUGAGAUUGUGACCUCGAUGUUGGACUAGGAAAUUAAUAAUUAGAAAUUAAAAUAAAAGGUUCUGUUCGAACAUAUUCUCCU